rnacentral:tRNA from 1 species
GCUCGAUCUGGUUGACGGCCGGGACGACGCCGGUCGCGUCGAUGAUCCGGGUCAGAUGCGCCGCCGUGAAGUUCGAGACGCCGAUCGAGCG